GCGGAAAUGGGCGGAUUGGUAGGACGCACCAGAUUUAGGUUCNUGGCGCCGCAAGGUGUGAGAGUUCAAGUCUCUCUUUCCGCACCA
rnacentral:tRNA from 1 species